UACGUAGGGGGCAAGCGUUGUCCGGAUUCAUUGGGCGUAAAGAGCGUGUAGGCGGCCAGGGAGGUCCGUUGUGAAAACUCGAGGCUCAACCUCGAGACGUCGGCGGAAACCCUCUGGCUAGAGUCCGGAAGAGGAGAGUGGAAUUCCUGGUGUAGCGGUGAAAUGCGCAGAUAUCAGGAAGAACACCCGUGGCGAAGGCGGCUCUCUGGGACGGUACUGACGCUGAGACGCGAAAGCGUGGGGAGCAAACAGG
rnacentral:rRNA from 1 species